UACAGAGGGUGCAAGCGUUGUUCGGAAUUAUUGGGCGUAAAGGGCGCGUAGGCGGUGCUGUAAGUCUGUAGUGAAAUCUCUGGGCUCAACUCAGAGUCUGCUAUAGAAACUGCAGUGCUGGAGUGUGGGAGAGGUGAGUGGAAUUCCCGGUGUAGCGGUGAAAUGCGUAGAUAUCAGGAGGAACACCAAUGGCGAAGGCAGCUCGCUGGAACGGUACUGACGCUGAGGCGCGAAAGCGUGGGGAGCGAACAGG
rnacentral:rRNA from 1 species